rnacentral:rRNA from 1 species
CCCUUAGAUGUCCUGGGCCGCACGCGCGUUACACUGAUGCAUUCAACGAGCUUAUAACCUUGGCCGAGAGGCCUGGGCAAUCUUGUUAACGUGCAUCGUGAUAGGGAUAGAUUAUUGAAAUUAUUAAUCUUGAACGAGGAAUUCCUAGUAAACGCAGAUCAUCAAUCUGCAUUGAUUACGUCCCUGCCCUUUGUACACACCGCCCGUCGCUCCUACCGAUUUCGAGUGGUUCGGUGAACCUUUCGGACCGGCAAUGCCUCGUGUUGCGCCGGAAAGUCAAGUAAACCAUAUCACUUAGAGGAAGGAGAAGUCGUAACA